rnacentral:misc_RNA from 1 species
CAACCCUCAAGCUCUGCUUGGUAUUGGGCUUCACCAUCUGGUGGGCUUUAAAAUCAGUGGCGGUGCCAUCUGGCUUCAAGUGUAGUAAUUUUUCUCACUUCUGGAGUUUAGAUGGUCACUUGCCAAUAACCCCUAAUUUUUUAA